AGCCACAGCCAUGUCACCCUGCAGCCCAAGACCGGUUACUCACUGAAGCUAAGCAGGGCUGAGCCUGGUCAGUUCCUGGAUGGGAGACCACUAGGGAACACUAGGUUGCUGUUGGAA
rfam:Danio rerio chromosome 3, GRCz11 reference primary assembly.